rnacentral:lncRNA from 1 species
CCGCCCGCAAUGGUGUUGGCACCGACAAUAAGGCCGGUGAGCAUCGGUCCGUAGCCGGGCACCGUGGUCCGCGGGUCGAGGAUGGUGGCGUACACGACGAAGAGGAGGGAGAAGGUGAGGAUGAUCUCCAUGACCAGGCCUUGCAUGGGGCCUAUGCCUGCGCCCAGGGUGUGCACCGGAACCGGUGUAGGCUGCAUCAAUAAUUGCACAUGUGGAGAAUGUUUAGAUUUUGGAACGAUUCAUUGUCACGGCAAGCAAUAUUCAAUAAUUAAAACAAAUAGUACAUCUAUGUGGUACCAUACGUGUCCUUAUUUCCCUUGCAGGCGUACUAUACGUGUCUUAUUCGUAAUGUUUUGAAAUCAAUAUGAUUUAAUUGUUAUAAAUGUAUGUACAUGUAUAUAAUUAUUUGUGUUCGUGCUGUGCUCAAAGAAAAGUACUUCCGUCUUAAAAUAAGUGACUCAAAAAUGACUCCGUUUUGUACUAACUUUAGUACAAAAUAAAGUCAUUUUUAAGUCACUUAUUUUGAAAGUAUGAUUUAACUAUCUGAGCAGCAGUGAUUUGGCGUAUCCACUUUUUAAAGGACAAGUCAAUUACCAGGGCAGGCAGAAACAUAGCAGGGGUAGGGUCGUACCUGGCCGCCGGUGAGGCACCGGAGGAGGAUGCAGGCGAGGGAGGAGGCCAGCAGCUGGGCCACCACGUACAGCACCGCCCGGAACGCCGUGAUGUGCCCGCGCGCCAGCAGCGCCACCGUCACCGCCGGGUUGAGGUGCCCGCCGGAGACAUGGAACCCCGCCGUCACCAACACCCCCGCCGCCAGCGCCUGCGCAAGCGCAACCCCGGCCAAC